rnacentral:rRNA from 1 species
CUAAGAAUCUUCCGCAAUGGGCGAAAGCCUGACGGAGCGACGCCGCGUGGACGAGGAAGGCCGAAAGGUUGUAAAGUCCUUUUCUGCGUGAGGAAUAACCACCGGAGGGAAUGCCGGUGAGAUGACGGUAGCGCAGGAAUAAGCCCCGGCUAAUUACGUGCCAGCAGCCGCGGUAACACGUAUGGGGCGAGCGUUGUUCGGAAUCAUUGGGCGUAAAGGGCGUGUAGGCGGUUAUAGAAGCCAGGUGUGAAAGGCCGCAGCUCAAGUGCGGAGGCGCGCUGGGAACUGUAUGACUUGAGUUCUGGAGGGGGAGGUGGAAUUCCAGGUGUAGGGGUGAAAUCUGUAGAUAUCUGGAAGAACACCGGUGGCGAAGGCGAACUCCUGGCCAUGGACUGACGCUGAGGCGCGAAAGCGUGGGGAGCGAACAGGAUUAGAUACCCCUGUAGUCC